rnacentral:rRNA from 1 species
CUUUGGACAAUGGUAGGAGAGCGUUCUAAGGGCGUUGAAGCAUGAUCGUAAGGACAUGUGGAGCGCUUAGAAGUGAGAAUGCCGGUGUGAGUAGCGAAAGACGGGUGAGAAUCCCGUCCACCGAUUGACUAAGGUUUCCAGAGGAAGGCUCGUCCGCUCUGGGUUAGUCGGGUCCUAAGCUGAGGCCGACAGGCGUAGGCGAUGGAUAACAGGUUGAUAUUCCUGUACCACCUAUAAUCGUUUUAAUCGAUGGGGGGACGCAGUAGGAUAGGCGAAGCGUGCGAUUGGAUUGCACGUCUAAGCAGUAAGGCUGAGUAUUAGGCAAAUCCGGUACUCGUUAAGGCUGAGCUGUGAUGGGGAGAAGACAUUGUGUCUUCGAGUCGUUGAUUUCACACUGCCGAGAAAAGCCUCUAGAUAGAAAAUAGGUGCCCGUACCGCAAACCGACACAGGUAGUCAAGAUGAGAAUUCUAAGGUGAGCGAGCGAACUCUCGUUAAGGAACUCGGCAAAAUGACCCCGUAACUUCGGGAGAAGGGGUGCUCUUUAGGGUUAACGCCCAGAAGAGCCGCAGUGAAUAGGCCCAAGCGACUGUUUAUCAAAAACACAGGUCUCUGCUAAACCGUAAGGUGAUGUAUAGGGGCUGACGCCUGCCCGGUGCUGGAAGGUUAAGAGGAGUGGUUAGCUUCUGCGAAGCUACGAAUCGAAGCCCCAGUAAACGGCGGCCGUAACUAUAACGGUCCUAAGGUA